rnacentral:rRNA from 1 species
CGUAACAAGGUUUCGUAGGUGAACCUGCGGAAGGAUCAUUG